AACGAACGCUGGCGGCAUGCCUAACACAUGCAAGUCGAACGAGACCUUCGGGUCUAGUGGCGCACGGGUGCGUAACGCGUGGGAACCUGCCUUUAGGUUCGGAAUAACUCAGAGAAAUUUGAGCUAAUACCGGAUAAUGUCUUCGGACCAAAGAUUUAUCGCCUUUAGAUGGGCCCGCGUUGGAUUAGCUAGUUGGUGGGGUAAAGGCUCACCAAGGCGACGAUCCUUAGCUGGUCUGAGAGGAUGAUCAGCCACACUGGGACUGAGACACGGCCCAGACUCCUACGGGAGGCAGCAGUGGGGAAUAUUGGACAAUGGGCGAAAGCCUGAUCCAGCAAUGCCGCGUGAGUGAUGAAGGCCUUAGGGUUGUAAAGCUCUUUACCCGGGAUGAUAAUGACAGUACCGGGAGAAUAAGCUCCGGCUAACUCCGUGCCAGCAGCCGCGGUAAUGUGACUAC
rnacentral:rRNA from 1 species